rnacentral:tRNA from 1 species
GCCUUCGUGGUGUAGUGGUCAGCACACUGGACGCGUAACCGAGAGGUCCGUGGUUCAAUUCCUAGUGAAGGCG